GACGAACCGUGCGAACGUUGUUCGGAAUCACUGGGCUUAAAGGGCGCGUAGGCGGGCGAUCAAGUCAGGGGUGAAAGCCCACGGCUCAACCGUGGAAGUGCCUCUGAUACUGGUGGCCUCGAGGGAGGUAGGGGCGUGCGGAACUUCCGGUGGAGCGGUGAAAUGCGUAGAUAUCGGAAGGAACAUCGGUGGCGAAAGCGGCGCGCUGGACCUCUACUGACGCUGAGGCGCGAAAGCCAGGGGAGCAAAC
rnacentral:rRNA from 1 species